rnacentral:lncRNA from 1 species
UUCUUUCUUGUUUAUCGAAGCAGCUCUGAGCCUUUUUAGCGUCCUGAAGCGCUUUGAGUAACGGAUGAAAGCUAUGGAGCCCCCAAAUACGCGCAAAUACCUAACCAUAAAAAUGUGGAUAAAACCUUGUAUGCAUCAACUACCUCUCUUUCAAGAUGGAAUUUUCAGAACACAUGGUCUGGGAUUGGAGCUGGAGCUUGGAAAUAUUGAGUGGGUGAGAAAGACUUCAUUGUUUUGUGACAGGUUAUUGUGAAAACAGCCCACUUCUGCCUGAAGAUCCAAGCCCAAGGCCUUCCUGGCCCCAGGGAUUUUGGGAUUCUUAAGAGCAAAAGAAGGAAAGAAAACAUGAGAGACUUUGGUACUGGGUACGAGCAUGAAAAGAGAAGGAUUGGUAAAAAAUAUCUCUUGGGAGCUCCUGCUGUGAUGCGAGGGUUAGUCCUGCCAUCCCAGGGCAAACUUCAUAAAAGAGGUCAGAUCCAAAGAUUGCAGAAGCCAGAAGAGACACUGCAUCCUUCCUGGUUAGGCCUGGUUAUGCCAGCUUCCUGGACUCUGCUGGCUGGUUGCCUCAAUCCAUGCCUCAGAUUGGGUGGAGUCUACAGAUUGAGGGCAAAUCCCACCUCCUCCCAACCCCCACCACUAGGCCUAUCUGGAAGACAGAAAAGAGCAGCAAGAAAUCUCAGGGAUUUUCUUUGAUUACUCAGAGGGAAAUAGUUUUCAUACUCAGAGACUGAUAGGCAGUCAAUAACAUUUGCUUUGUGAAUUUUCACCCAGCUACUUCUGGAUGAGAUAAUCACCUUUGCUGCUAAAGAAAAUCUUAGCUCAUUUUCUUCUUGGGGUGAUGGUAUAAGAGUUGAUAAACAAUUUGUAAGUAUUUAUCAUCUGGCAUAUUUAACAAAAUAUCUUUGUGAUCCAUAAAGCAAGGCAUAAAUUACAUUUGAAAGUGCAUUCCAUUAAACAAGAACAUUAGAGAGAAAGAGAGAGAGAGAGACACUUUGGACCUUGAUCUGUUCCAAUGACAUAGAAACUUGCUUUACAGAUUGGCUUUCUCCUAGUGCACUAUUGCAAAAUUAGAGCUAUACUAGAAACAUCCUUAGAGUUUGAUAAUUGAAUUACAGUGGAGAAAAAUAAGGUUUAUAUUUCUUAACUAUACCUUUGAAUUUCUUACUACUACAGAGGAUAAUUUUCCUGGUCCCUGGGGUUAGUGGUGAAAAACUAAUUGUUUUAUUAAAUUCAUGCCUCAUUCUUGUGACCCCAGAUUUUCGAAUUUGAAUAGGAAUGCAGUCAAGGGGUGAAUUCUGACAUCUUCAUUCUUUACUUAGCUCUUAAAAGCCAAGAUACUUUAUAUUACUUGUUUAUACUAAUCUUUGAUCACAAUAUAUUUACAUUGCUGGCAAGUAAAGUCUCUUAAUAAUAUAGCAGCAAAUAUUAGCUCUUCAUUCAAAAUUGUUAUUAUUCGGGAGUACUAUACAUGGUCUCUUACAUUAGGAUUUAUGAAAGUAGGAAUUAAUUAUGUUUAUUUAAUUCAAACAAGUGUUUUUCUCAAAGUAAUGAGUGUUAUGAAGGGAACUUAUUUGACCACAUACAACCCUGAGAUUCUUAUCUUUUUGGCAAAUAGCACUAACUGUGGAAAAGCUUAAGAUCAGUGGGGUUGUCGGUUUCCCCACACGUUGAGUUGAUGAUAGGUUAUAAUAAAAAUAUCAGACCAAAUUCUGCCACUUAUAUAGGCAUGUAUUAAACAUGUAUUUGUAAGCAAGUAUACAACAGUUCAUAGAAUAAGAUAAAAACCUAGCUCUCUGUCCUCUUUAGUGCUCUAAUGACUUCAAGCUGGCUCAACAAUAUUCCAGAGGCAAGAUUCUAUUACUCUUAUAGUUAGCAUCGGAAAUCCAAUGGAUGGACACUGGAUUCUUUGAGGAUCAAGCUUGAGGUGCCAAGCAUGGGAUGCAUUUCUGAAAUAUUUGAGUUUAAUCGUAUAUCUUGAAUACCACUUAUUAUUCCAGUGAGAUCUGAUUGAUGAUUAACUUAUUGAACAAGUCACUAAUUUUACCAAUGAAAAUAUAUUUCUGAUGUUUACUUUGCUAAUUAGCAAGACAUCUGGGUUUGGUAUACACAUCUGGUGAGAGAUGAAGGGCAGAAAUUGAGGCACAGAAACAAUAAGUGGUUUCCCUUAAGAUCAGAUAGCUAGUAAGUGUCUCAGCUUGUUUGUGCAUCCCACAGUGAGGAGCCUGUGUUUUUUUAAAUCUCUCUGGAUUAGUUGUGCUGGUAAGUUCUCUAGAAGCAACUUGACUCCACUGUUUUGAGGGCAGAAAUAAAAUGAACAGGCUAUAAUUGAGGUUGUAGAAGAGAUAAAAGAAAAUCUGUGAUGCAAGUAACUACACAGAGUCCUGUCUGUGAAAUGCAGGAGGCUGUCCAUAACUAAAGGCAUCUACCUUUAGAAAGGCAGUAUCAGAUUGUCACUUAUCUUGAUGGUCAUGAGAUAGGGAUGUUCUGGUUAAUAAAAUAUUCUAGUUAGUAGAGAUUCUCAGUAGACUCUAUACUCUAAUUUCUCAUUUAAAAGAAAUUGGACUCUUACAAAAUAAACAUGAUAUGAACCCAGAAUUUAACUUACUAUUUUCUUACUGUUAUCCCAAAGACAUUACAUGAUAUUGAACACUUUGAGGUAAUUAUGGUACUGGGGGAGCAUAAUUGUUCCUACUAAUAGAAACAAAAUACUAAGGAUUUUUCUAGAAACUCUUAAGAGCCAUUUACCUGGCUAAGGAUUUUUCUAGAAACUGUCCUUUCAAGAGCCAUUUACCUGGAAUAAAAGUGAUGUGUAUGAUAAACAGUUGGCUAUACAGACCCAAGAUGAAAUUCAAAAUAUGACUUCUGAAAAUUCUGAAUUCAAAAUCAAGUUUUUGAUACUUUAGGAUCAGCUAGAUGAUCAUCAUAAAUUUGUCUCCUUUCCACUUCAAUUUUUUUUCAUCUUCACCAAUCUACACUAUAUUCAAGCCAACUUACCAUUUCCCUUACUCCGUUUUCCCUGCAACUUCCCUAAGCUGUUAGUGUUAUUGUACUACUCUUCUUUAUGCCACUUAGGCUUGAAUUCUUGGCCCAAUUUCUCUCACUUCUGCAUGAAGUCACCAAAUGCCAGUGAUUCUGCUUCUAACAUAUUUCAGACAUCAUUUCUGUCCAUUCCCACUACCAGAAAGAAACUCUGUGUUAGUUUUUCUUUUACCUUUAUUGACUUUUUAUAAUAGCAUUUAUGGCGUGUUGAAUUGUGGCCCCCCAAAAAUAUGUCCAAGUCUUAACCCUGGUGCCUAUAAAUGUGACCUUAUUUGGGAAAAGAGUCUCACAGAUGAAAUUAAGUUAAAGAUCUUACCCUGGAUUAACCAGGUAGAUGCUAAAUCGAAUAAAAAAGUGUCUGUACAGGAAGAGAAGAGGAGAAUCACAGAGAAGAAAGCCAUGUGAAGAUGGUAACAGACACUGGAGUCUGUAACCCCAAGUGUAAUGCGACGGGUUCUCCACCAGGUUACUUAAGGGUGUAUGUCCACUGCUUGAGCCCUGAAGACUGGGUGGUGAGCCAAGGUCAUGGUGCUCAGCCAAGGAACACCAUGUGCUGUGUUCCCUGAGAACACAAACAUUUGGGAGAGUACCUGGGGACAUACCAAGAAAAACACUCAUCACACACAGAGAAGAAAAGCCAGAAAAUUAGCUUAAAAGCAGCUUGAAGAUGGGUGGGGUAAGGGGGUGUGUGGGGCAAAUCUCCAGAGUUGUCCUGCUACCACCUAGGAAUGCCCUGUAUGUUAAGUCCUAAUAAACUCACCUACUCAUCAAGUUGGAUUUGCCCAAGUCAUUCUAUAGUCUCUAGGCUCCUUCCCAGUUUGGGGGGUUGCAUUAGUCCAUUUUCACACUGCUAUAAAAAAAUACCUGAGACUGGGUAAUUUAUAAAGGAAAGAGGUUUAAUUGACUCACUGUUCCACAUGGCUGGGGAGGCCUCAGGAAACUUACAAUCAUGGUGGAACGUGAAGGGGAAG